rnacentral:rRNA from 1 species
UACGUAGGAUCCAAGCGUUGUCCGGAUUUACUGGGUGUGAAGGGUGCGCAGGCGGACUGGUUAGUCAGGCGUGAAAUCUCGGCGCUCAACGCCGAAACGUCUUUUGAUACUGCCAGUCUUGAAUAAGCGAGAGAUUCGUGGAAUUCCGAGUGUAGCAGUGAAAUGUGUAGAUAUUCGGAAGAACACCAGUGGCGAAGGCAGCGAAUUGGCGCUUUAUUGACGCUCAGGCACGAAAGCAUGGGGAUCAAACAGG